ensembl:lncRNA
CGCUGUUUCGUACAGGCUAAUGAUGUUCCGUACAGAGCGCAUACUUUGAUUUCACGACGAAAAUGGACAUUUAACGGAUCGACUUUGAGCUAUUUAUUUAUUUUAACUGAAGAAAACAUCAUUUCAAUGAAUAAGAAAGGUGGAACCACAAAUGGCACACAAAUGGAACCACAAUGGCCUCAUCUACGGAGCCAGGUGGGACCACUCUACGGCAGAGAGCGCAGUGUUCUCCAUUUUCAGUAGGAGGAGGUGACUGAUUCUUUUUCCUUUUGGCCUUCUGGGCUUGUCUUUAUUCCACCUUCUUCUUUGCCAUCUCUUCCUUGUGCUUUCUCUUCUUUUCUUCCUUCUCUUUCUCCUCAGUUUCUUUCUCUACCAGCAGGUCAAAGUAUUCGUCGCUGGUGAUGACACGGGCUGGCAACGGAAUGCGAAGACUCAACUUUUUCUUCCUCUCCAGGGCUGGACUCAUGAGGACGUUAGCCAGACUCUCUGGUAUUACACCUGCUGCCACCAGUAGGUGACUUGAUGGAUGGUGUGGUGGGAGCGAUAGAUAGUGUGGCUGACGGAGUGGUGGCAGGGCUGGAUGGUGUGGUGUCACUUUCAUCUACAAAUGGGAGCACUCUCACCACCUAAGAAAAUAAAACCAGCCCUGGACAGAGGAAAAAUGCCAGCCUUGCGAAACCCGGCUUUGAUGUUUUGGACUGUGACAGCAGUGGGGUAGACAUGUUUGAGGAAAGCUGAAAACUGCUUCUUCCCACAACAAUGUCCCCUCGCACCAGACCCAUCCUGGAAGCCAUGGUGGAGAAAGCAGUCUUCAGUGGGUUGAAGACCGCAAUAUCGAGGGGCUGUAGUAUGUGUGUGGUGUGGGCAGGUAGGCAGAGAAUUUCCAUCUUGUUUUCUCUGCAGAACAUGAUUACAUCUUUUCAUACAUGUGUCUCGUGUUGGUCCAUGAUUAAAAUUAGUGGUCUCUCAUAUCUGAUGAAAUGGAGCCAUUUCAAGAAGAGCUCUGAGUCCAUGUAACCCUUCUCCUGGAUGCCAUAGAGAGCGUUUGGGGGCCCAU